rnacentral:lncRNA from 1 species
CAGGGUAACAAGAUUAGGAAGGGCUGCAGCAAAACUCACAAUUUAAUUAUUUGAGAAUAUGACCUUCAACAGACAUGUGCAAAAAGGACAGACCUCUGGGAGGUCCUAGGUCAAGCUAGAGCCACCAUUGGCACAUGUGAGACACAGGAAGUGAGGUAGAGAACAGCCUCUGGAGUUCUCAUGACUUCCUAUGAGGAGGGCGAGAGGCAGUUGGAGGUUGGUGCUUGGAGUUGGAGGAGCCUGCAGACUGCUUUUCUCCAGAUUGGUCACUGAGAUUCAACGGGAUAGAGUUUGGAGCUCACAGCCAAGAUUGAAGAGCCCUCAUUCUCCAUUAUUUCAUUUGAUCUUCACAACACCAGGAGAUAAGUACUGCAGAUAAUGAUAUCCUCCUUUUAUAGAUGGGAACACUGAGCCCCAGAGAGGCUAAGUGGUAGUGUACAAAAUAGAAUUUGAACUCCAGUCUUCCUGAUUCCAAGGCCAGUGCACCAUCUGCUCUGAAA